rnacentral:lncRNA from 1 species
CCCAGCGAGCUCGCCCACCCCGCGCGCCGGGGCCCGGCGAGAAGGUUCGAGCUGUUGGCGGGGAGAAAGACGGCGAGACCCGGAGAGGCCGCUCACUGGAUUCGCCCCGGCCCGGCCCCGAGCGCAGUUACCCGUCCCGGGCGGGAGCUGCCGCCGACGCCUGCCGCUCCUCGGCCGCCGCCGUCUCCGCCUCCGCUCCCCAGCGUUGCCCGUUCCCGCCUUCUCCUCGGUGCCCGCGGGCCCCACACGCCGCUGCCUGGGGGAGGAGGGCGCGGGGACGUCGCCAAAGGUGCCGGGCAAGUUCCGGAGCACCGCGGGCCGGCUGGGAGCCGAGCGUCCGCGGGGUCAGCUGCGGGGCGCCCAGCUCCUGCUCCCCCGGACCGAAACGGGCACGACUGUCCCCGCGCCUGCAGCAGCUGCCUCCGCGCGUAUCCGCGCUCGGCUCGGGCACCCGGCGAUUAUCACUGGGGCGCGCGGUGACGUCACCGGCCCCAGCUCCGCCGCCGCCUCCCCGAGGUGUCCUUGAGAACUGCGGGGCACGCGCGCCGCGCACACGCGCACACACGCACUGCGCGCCCGGUGCCUCCCGCGCACACGCCGCGUCCCGCCCCGCGCGCUCCUCUGCUUACAUGGACGCCGCCCUCGAGCAUCCUGGACCGUGCCCGGCGCCCUGUGGCCACACGGAUGACCAAGGAAACACCUCUCUCUCUCACACGCUCCAACCCCGCCCGCGCCCACGCGGGUGCUCCUCCUGCAGCCCGCCGGCCACAGCCGCUCUGGGCACACACUGACACCCACCAGCCACGCCUCGACCGCACACAGCCAGCCGCGCCCGCAGACGCUCCUCUGAACUCAGACCUUCACCGCAGGUUCCCGCCGUCAUUUCCCAGCAGCCCCUCCAGCCCCCGGAGGAAGGGAAGGGACUUGCGGAGGGAGCACAGCGCCCACGGGGCACAGGCCUUGCUGGGUGGUUAUGCGGAGGAGAGAGACAGCGACCCCUCGUCAAAGACGGCUCCCUUUUCUCACUGUGUCCUGACUGGGGCGAGGCGGGGGGAGUUCUUGCCCCCAGAGACCACGGAAGCGCAGGCGACAGACACCUCAUGGGCUGACUGCGGGGCGAGUGCCCUCCCCUUAGGGUCCUUCGGAGGGCUGACCCUGAUCUGUCUCUCUAGGGCCAAGGAUCAGCGGCUUUCCUAAGUCACACCGCCUCAUGCCUCCCCCAUGGGUCUUUGUUGCGGUGCAGAGCGUGCGGGAGCUGCAGGCCUAGGGUGGGCCGCAGGCCUCUGCCCCUCUCCUUCCCUCCAGGCCAGCCCAGCCCCUGCGCCAUCUGCCUUAGAGCAGAACCUACUGACCCCACUGCCCUGGGUGUGCCAUCCUGCUUCCUUCCCUCUCAGCCUCUCCAGCACUGCGGGGCAAGGAGAGCCAACUGGGAAGGGUGUUGGGACUCAGGGUGGCUCUGCCCCAAACCUGCUUGUCCUCCACCAGCCAGGUUGCCCCUCCCCCUCGGUGCAGCUUCAGCCUGACCGUUUGGGCUGGCCCUCAUUCCUUCACCCUUUACCGACCCUUCUCUCUCCCAAGGCAGGCACGCACCCACCCCCCCACGCAUACCCCCAGUGCAUCACACUCAGGAAACCUCCCCAGACCUUUGGGGCUCACAGCUCGCGACGGGCGCUCUCACUGGCCGGGGUGGACAGUGAAGGACGCUGGGCAGCUGGCAGUUUCAGCUUCAUCAGAGACUGCGUCUCCCUCUGCCUCUGCCGGCCCUGUGGCGCUGGACACCCACCCUCAGCCUGAUGCUGCUCCCCACAGCAGUGGGAUCCGCUGUCCAUGGUGUUAAAGCUGAACCCUGAACCCGUCUCGACUUCUCCGGCCUUGCCUCCAGACUUUUCGUCCGUCCUCUCCCAGGAAGAGUUGAGGCCCAGGCCCGGCUCAGGUUGUGCUCCAGUCGCCCCGCACCGUGGGCCCAGCCUCGCUGCACCCGAGCCUUCUCUCCAGCGCUGCCCACACCGCCGCUCCUCCCCAGCACACGAGAAUUUGUUUGAGGGUUUAUUUAUUUGCCAGCUCCGCAGAUGGGGGCAGGGGACUCCCCGCUCGGAGUGAAGGGCGUGGGGAGGCUGCGCAGCCAGGCCGCUCAGGGCUCCAGGUUCCAGGCGGCUGCCUCCGUGCGCACAAAGGCCCUGCGCACCACGGCCCGACAACUUGGAGACGGGUCAGGUGGCUUCGCGGGGUGGGGGAGGGAGGAGGAAGGGAGGGACGCAGGAGACCCCCUCCCCUUUCCCUCCCCUCCGCCACCGUGAAAGCCUGCGAAUAGCGUGGGAUUAAACAAACCCACAGAAACGGUGAAGAAUCUCCUCCCUUCCUGCUCCUGCCUCCUCCUCACACUGCAGCUGCUCCUGGG